UCCUGACUGACCGAUAGUGAACCAGUACCGUGAGGGAAAGGCGAAAAGAACCCCGGCGAGGGGAGUGAAAAAGAACCUGAAACCGUGUACGUACAAGCAGUGGGAGCACGCUUAGGCGUGUGACUGCGUACCUUUUGUAUAAUGGGUCAGCGACUUAUAUUCUGUAGCAAGGUUAACCGAAUAGGGGAGCCGAAGGGAAACCGAGUCUUAACUGGGCGUUAAGUUGCAGGGUAUAGACCCGAAACCCGGUGAUCUAGCCAUGGGCAGGUUGAAGGUUGGGUAACACUAACUGGAGGACCGAACCGACUAAUGUUGAAAAAUUAGCGGAUGACUUGUGGCUGGGGGUGAAA
rnacentral:rRNA from 1 species